rnacentral:rRNA from 1 species
UACGUAUGGUGCAAGUGUUAUCCGGAUUCACUGGGCGUAAAGGGAGCGCAGGCGGCACGGCAAGUCUGGUGUGAAAACCCGGGGCUCAACCCCGGGACUGCAUUGGAAACUGCCGGGCUGGAGUGUCGGAGGGGUAAGCGGAAUUCCUAGUGUAGCGGUGAAAUGCGUAGAUAUUAGGAGGAACACCAGUGGCGAAGGCGGCUUACUGGACGAUGACUGACGCUGAGGCUCGAAAGCGUGGGGAGCAAACAGG